ACAAUAUUAACAUCAUUCUUUCCUUCAUUACACUGGAUCUAGUAAAUAUUCAUUUGAUUGAAGAAAAUUUUCACAUAAUUUGGCCAUCAAAUAUUUUCUCCCCCUGAAGAUGAGAAGCUCUAGAAUGGAAUAGGGGAAUCAGUAAAAUUUGCUGAGGAUAUAGGUAAUAUAAUUGAUGGUUUAAAGUUUUGUCUGUAUAAAAUAGACACAAAAAUUAGAUGUAAUAGACAAAAAAAAAUUAGAGUAAAUUCCUUACAGUCAAGUUUUAAAGUUUAAAUUCAUACGGUGAACAGCAUGAUAAUCAAGCCGCCUUGGAUUUGAAAAGGGACAGUUUCGUUAUGCUUUUUGUUAUUCUUGCAGGAGGUUCACUUGGUUAAUAUGAGGCCUGUUCGAAUUAAGCAGCUUCUGUGACUGCCUUUGGUUGCUGCUGUAUGAGACUCUUUCUCACAAUUUCUUUUUAGGUUUCCUUCCUCUCUGGCAUGACUUUUUCUCCCAGGACUAGGUCAUCAACACCCAAGAGACUACUGAAUUUACUUUGAAGAAGUUCAUCCCUGGCUUCUUUUCUGGGUUCCACAUCUAAAUCUCUGUGAUAGACAUGGAGAUUGCCUCCAAAAUCUAAAUUUCAUUGUAUAUUAAAACAAACUCUAAAUUUCUCCUGCCCAUCAACGGACCAAUUUCCCGUAUGUUUACUCUUUCAUUUCAGUUUUCAGUUUUAUUUUUCUACUAAUAGCAGUCAUAGGAUAAAAUUACUUGUAUUAUUCUCAGUCAUUUUCCACCAUUCUCCCUCCUCUCUUCCUAUCUCACCCUCUCCCCGUCUCUCUACUUUUCUCGCCUGUUCCUCUUUUCCCCAUGCUUUCUCUCUCUUUCCUGGGCUUCAUUAAGUCUUACCUAAAUGAAUUAUUGCUUUCUUAAUUCUUCUCCCUUGACCUUAUUUGAACAAACUAAAACCCAUCUUCUUCAAAUUGCCAAAUUUAACUAGAUAAACAAUAGUCAUCAUUGUUACACUCCAUUGUUAAAAAUUAUUUGAAAGUAGGGCAGAACAUAGUAUUAAAAGAACACAAGUUUUUAAUUUCCCCUGCCCCAAUUCGGAUGCUUUACACAUCUCUCUUGUUUCUCCUGGACUUACGCAGCCUUCCUGCUCAUUUAUUUUCAUGCCUAUAACUGGUGUUCUUGGAUUACUCAUUUAUUUAACCGGUUGACCAGACGUACCCACCUCUAAGUCUAUUGCAAUCUCCUCUAUUGCUGCCAAGAGAAGGAAACACUGUCCACCUGGAGACAAACCCUGAUGUGAAGGUCAGUAAAUUAGCCCUCUGUCAAAAGUACAACCACAGCCACUUAUUUCAUCAGUUUCUUGGGAUAUGGCCCUGGUCAGCAUAUGCACUAACUCACUUUUCACUAAGAUACCUAAGUGCUCCACAGGUCAUAUAAGUAUGAUUUUAUGGCAAUGUGAUCAUAAGAAGCUAAAUUUCUCUCAUGAAUUUCCUAGUUCAAAAAAGUCCUCAGGUGAAUGGAUAAAGAAAAUAUGGCCUAUACAUACACUGAAAUAAUAUUCAGCCUUUAAAGAAAGAGUAAAAUUCUUUCAUUUGGGAUAAUAUGAAUCGACCAGAAAAUAUCACGCUAAAUAAAAUAAGCAAGGCACUGAAAUACAAAUACUGCAUGAUCUCACUUAUACGUGGAAUAAAAAAUUUUAAAAACUCAUCAAAUCCAUAGAAGGAGAGACUAGAAUGAUUGCUACCAGAAGCUGAGGGUGAAGAUGGGGAGAAAGGAAUGGAAAGUUGACAGUCCGGGGUUAUAAAAUUUUAGCUGAACAGCAGGAAUACAUUUUGAGAUCUAUUGCAUAACAAGGUGACUAAAGUCAAUAAUAAUGUAUAUUUCAAAAAAACUAAAACACUAUAUUUUAAAUGUAUCACCACAAAAGAAGGUCAAGUCAG
rnacentral:lncRNA from 10 species